AGGACGAACGCUUGCGACGUGCCUAAGAAAUGCAAGUCGAACGGACAGUAGCAAUACUGUUAGUGGCGAACGGUCGCGUAACACGUGGGCAACCUGCCCUGAAGCGGGGGACAACAACUUGAAAGAGUUGCUAAUACCGCAUGUGGAUCGCUCUGGCAUCAGAGAUUAUCCAAAGCCUUCGGGCACUUCAGGAUGGGCCCGCGGCCUAUCAGCUUGUUGGUGAGGUAACGGCCCACCAAGGCUUCGACGGGUAGCUGGUCUGAGAGGACGAUCAGCCGGAUUGGGACUGAGAUACGGCCCAGACUCCUACGGGGGCAGCAAUUAGGAAUCUUGCACAAUGGGCGAAAGCCUGAUGCAGCGACGUCGCGUGAGGGUGAAGUCUUUCGGGACGUAAACCUCUUUUAUCGGGGAAGAACAAUGACGGUACCGGUGAAUAAGCCCGGCUAACUACGUGCCAGCAGCCGC
rnacentral:rRNA from 1 species